rnacentral:tRNA from 1 species
GUAGAUAUAGUUUACACAAAACACCAGACUGUGAACCUGGAAACAGAAGGGAGAUCCUCCUUAUCUACC